UACGGAGGGUGCAAGCGUUAUCCGGAAUCAUUGGGUUUAAAGGGUCCGCAGGCGGUCUUAUAAGUCAGUGGUGAAAGCCUACAGCUCAACUGUAGAACUGCCAUUGAUACUGUAAGACUUUGAAUUCGAUCGAAGUGGGCGGAAUAUGACAUGUAGCGGUGAAAUGCUUAGAUAUGUCAUAGAACACCGAUAGCGAAGGCAGCUCACUAGGUCUGGAUUGACGCUCAGGGACGAAAGCGUGGGGAGCAAACAGG
rnacentral:rRNA from 1 species